rnacentral:rRNA from 1 species
AGUGAACGCUGGCGGUAGGCCUAACACAUGCAAGUCGAACGGCAGCACAGUAAGAGCUUGCUCUUACGGGUGGCGAGUGGCGGACGGGUGAGGAAUACAUCGGAAUCUACUUUUUCGUGGGGGAUAACGUAGGGAAACUUACGCUAAUACCUCAUACGACCUACGGGUGAAAGCAGGGGAUCUUCGGACCUUGCGCGAUUGAAUGAGCCGAUGUCGGAUUAGCUAGUUGGCGGGGUAAAGGCCCACCAAGGCGACGAUCCGUAGCUGGUCUGAGAGGAUGAUCAGCCACACUGGAACUGAGACACGGUCCAGACUCCUACGGGAGGCAGCAGUGGGGAAUAUUGGACAAUGGGCGAAAGCCUGAUCCAGCCAUACCGCGUGGGUGAAGAAGGCCUUCAGGUUGUAAAGCCCUUUUGUUGGGAAAGAAAAGCAGCAGGUUAAUACCCCGCUGUUCUGACGGUACCCAAAGAAUAAGCACCGGCUAACUUCGUG